rnacentral:rRNA from 1 species
GGGUCAGUAGGUUGGUCGUGCCACCGGUACGUACUGGUCUCACUGAUUCCUCCUUCCUGAGGAACCGUAAUGCCAUUAAUUUGGUGUUGCGGGGAAACAGGACUGUUACUUUGAAAAAAUUAGAGUGUUUAAAGCAAGCUAACGCUUGAAUACAUUAGCAUGGAAUAUUGAAAUAGGACGAUCGAUCCUAUUUUGUUGGUUUCUAGGAUUGACGUA